AGAAAGCCAGGGGGUCACCUUCUGGGUAUUAGCCUAGGAUGUCUAGCUUGGCCAGGCCAGGAUGUGCAGGUGGCCCUAGUGGCUGAAUGGGCACAGCCAUCAGGUACUUCUGGUCCCUUCCUGAUGGUGGAGAACCCUCACUUCCUGCAGCCCUAACUCCAUUUGGGAGGCCAGUGGUGGCAGGGGUGGUUAUCUCAUUAGUCAAUACACUCAGGCCAGUUAUGGCACUUGAGAAGCCAUCACAGUUGCUGGGCUCCAGUGGAGCUGUGACAGUCCUUCCCGUGGACCUUAUGUCAGCCUGGCCCCUGCUCCAACUGAGGCAGAUCCUGGGGAAGGCAUAGCUCUGGUGGAGGGUUUUCUGCUUAUCAAGACCUCCUAGAGGUAGAGGCCAGGGAAGGAAGAGGAGGGGAAGGAAAGGAGGAAACUAGGUAUGAGUAGGGGAGUCAGGUACUGGGAGGAAAAAAACUAAUUGUUUGCUUAGUUUCUUGCUAGAAAAUCUGGAGAAGGGUGGGUGAAGCCUGGGGAUAUAGCUCUUAGGUGCAAUGGCCUUUGUUUUCCGCUGCUGGCUCCUUUCUAUCUGCUCUCUUCCCUGGAGAGUUUAUGCAAGCCCAGGGUUUCAGGUUCACUCAGAUGCUCACGAUUUCUUCCUGAGCUCUCCCUGACCCCAUGACUAUCCACCGAGUAUCUCUAUCUUUGUGCACAGGCAUCUCGAUGCUUCAUUUCCCCACCCUCCUUCUCAGCCUUCUGCCGUCAAUCCUUUCCUCAAAAUACCCUCUUCUGAUCAUUUCGUCUCCUUUACUUCCUUUCUGGCCAUACCCUCUUCCACUCACUCACCCACUCACUCCUCACUCCUUUCUUUCUAACACUUAGACCUUUUCUCCAUUACCUGACAAAAAUCUCAUCCUUUCACAUCUUCAUGCCUUUGUAUAUGCUGUACUCUCUUCCAGAAAUGCCCUCUACCACGUCCUAUUUCUUUUGACUUCCUAGCAAAGUUCUACUUGGCCUUAAACCUUAAAUACCCAACACAAAUGUCACAGAAGAAAUGUUGGUAAACUCCUCCCUCAUACCCCAGGGUGAACUAACCAUUCCCAGUUUGGACUUCCACAGUCCUUCCUGCAUAACUCAGAUAUGGUUCUUAUGACCUGUUUAGUCUUAGCUGUCUGCAUGGUAGUAUCCCUCUCUUUAAGCUGUUUAAAGCAAGGACCAUUGUCUUAGCUAUUUCUGAACUCUAGAUCAGUGCCUGGUACAUUGCAGAUGAUCAGUACAUUUGCAUUAUGAAUUUAUUUCCACCUUCAUUCCCAUGGCUCCCUCGACUGUGUGUAACUGAGAAUAUGCGAUAAAUUUGUUGACUGGUCAGUCUCCAAGUCCUAUCUGAUUGAUCUUAAGCACUAGCAUGAGGACAAAGAGAAAGGACAAGGGUGUUCGAUUUUUGGCUGAUCCUAGAUGAAAAGAUCCCCAAAGCCCUCCUCUUCCAGUGGGGAGGGAAGGAAAAGCUUUCCAGAUCUACAAAGUGAGCCUCAGUCAAUGCUGCCUGCAGAGACCCGACCAGUCUUCUCUUGAACCAGAUUGGUUUUCAGGGAACUCUUUUCUCUCUUUUUUUUUUUUUUUUUCCUUUCUGGCAGAAUGUCAAUCACAUACCCAGAAUAUCACCUUUGUGGGUACAGCCAGGGUAUAGGCAGUUGGAAAUGUCCCUGGUUGCCUGCAGCAGUGACUGCUUACCAUAAAACCAGUAUGGAGGACUGCCAAAAACCCAUUAGCCAAAAUCUCUAGAUGGCUCAAGGAGCUGCGAAGACCAAAAGUUGCUGGACUUUAAGUAUAAAAUGUUUGAAAACCACAUCAGCAAAUCUAGGACAGUGGAGGCCUAGUGGUGUGAACCUGGGCUCUUGGCAGAACUGACUUCGCGUCUUGGCUGUGUCAUUCACUGACUGUGACUUUUGGGCAAGCCACUUUACUUCUCUGAUAGUCAGCUCCCUUGCCUGCAAAAUGGGUUACAGUGAUGGCAUCAGCUUCAUGAGGAUUGAGUUAGAUAAAGCAUACAUAUCUCAUAGGCAAUAAUAAAUAAAAAUGUUGGCCGUUGUAAUAUUGCAACUGAGUCUACACAUGUCUGAAACUAGCUCUUUUAAAUCUUAGGCACAACUUUAUAAACAGUGCUUGUUUGUGAAGAAGUUUAGUCUGGUCGCCUGAGUUCUUUCCAUGUGAUUAUUGUUCAUAUUGGACCUUAGGACAUUUUUAAAAUCAGAGAAGUUUGUCCCUAAACACUUUUUUCCAUUGGUCCCUCUCUCCAUUUCGUGGAACCCUAUUUGUGCAGCUGUGAGCUUCAAGUGCCCAUUUCUCUCAUUCCUUCUGCAUCAGCAAGAUCUGAUAAAAUUAUUUAAACUAACGUGUAAGUGACUAUCCCAUCCAGACAUACAGUAUUUCCAUUUUAACAGAAUGCACCUUAAUGCAAGGCAGUGAAAUAGAGUGGAUGGGGCUUCAGGCAUUCAUCAGAGUAAUGGGGACAGUUUGAGGGGCCUAGGAGGCUCUUCCUGACUCCACAGAGUCCUGUCCACUCAUAAAACUGGUUCUACUGAUGCAAUUAUAAGCAACAAGGUGGGCUGUUUCUGAACUCUCCAUCUAGAAAAUCAACUCUCCACCUGUCGCAAAAGUGUUGUAAUAAGGAAAUUUGGGCACCAAUUUUAUGUGCCAACCUCCCUGGUAAACAGACACAGCUCAUGAUCACCAAGGUCCCUUCCAACAUGGCAUAUCUAUGAUACUCAUACUCAGGUGCCUUUUUUCUUUAGGGCUCUGGGCUGAGGUUGAGUGUUUUUGCCUCACUGGGUUUGUGGGAGACCCAGCUACAAAAUCAUCAAUUGCUUUAGUGGAGUCAACAAGUAAAGAAGAGCAGUCCAGCUACUGUGCCCAAAUUGCAAAGUCAUAAGUGGUUUCUGGAUUUCUCUGCAAAAUCCUUGUUAAAGGUGGAUCCUCACGGCUCUUAAAAUUCUUUAUUAUAGAAAAUUUUAAACAUGUACAAAUGAUGAGAGAAUUGUAUAAUAUAUUCCUCAUGAACCUAUCAUUUAUCUUUUUUUUUAUAUCAUUUAUCUUUUAUAGUUAUCAACUCAUAGCUAAUCAUUUUUAUCUAUACUCCACUCACAUACUCCUCCCAACCCCCAUAAUUUUGAAGCAAAUUUCAAAUAUAAUUUCAUCUGUAAAUAUUUCAGUAGUUGCAUGCUUGUUAUGGCCAACAAAAUCCAUCUCUCUAGGGGAGAAGUUCUUCCUUCCCCGCAGGAUGCUAAGAACAUAGAACGUUUGGCCAGUACCUGCACCUGUGCCCAGGAAUGGUCCCUGGUUUAGGCAAGUUCAAGGGCUUACUGAAUGCUGUCCAAAGUCUGUCCUGUUCCUUGGGUAGAAAGAGGCACCCCUAAAAUGCCUGGGAGUGGUGUCUCCACCUGCAAGCUUUGUGUCAGCAAGGUUACUGCCCAACCGCAGGAUGAGGCCCGAGCUGAGAGGCCAGAGGCACAGUCAUGAAUCCUAACUGGGUUCAUCAUUUUCACGUACAUUGCUUCAUUUACCUUUCAUCAAUUCUUAUUUUAUUUCCAUUUUACAGGCAAGAAAACUAAGACCUAAGGCCACACAGCUAGUGUAAAAGAGACUGACUAGAUGCUAUUCAAAUUCAGUUCCUCUUUUCCAUCAGCACAGUUAGAUUGUAUUUUCCAGAUUCUCUUGCAGUUAGGUUUGGCCAUCUGACUAAGUUCUGGAGAGAUAAUAUAGGCCAGUCCCAUAAAAAACAUCCAGGGCAAUCUAGCGCGUUCUUUCUUUCUCCAUGCAUCGGCUGAAUGGAGAGAAUUUCAAGGGCUUAGAAGAGGGCAGGGAAGGAGCCUGGGUCCCUGCAUGACACUGUGAAGCAGAGAACCCUUUGAACUUUCUCUGGACUGUGAAAUGAGCAAAAAAUAACCUUCUAUUCUGCUAAACUGCUGAAAUGUGAGUGAUAUGUGAUAAAGUAGCAAGCCUACCCUGACCGAUACAGUGGCACAGAUAGGAUUUAAACCCUACUGCAUCUGACUAUGCCACUGUUCAAAAUCUCCCCCUACGCCCCACAGCCUCUGGGCACAGCAAAGAAGAAUCACUUCUAAGAAUGUCCUACUUGCUCGACAUUUGAUAGAAUUGUCUUCAAGGACCUCACAUCUUAGGUUUGUGAUAGCCACUGGCCAUAUGGGACUGUUAAAGGUUUAUAUUAAUUAAAAUUAAAUAAAAUUUAAAAGUCAGUUUCUUUUUUUUUGUAUAUUGUAUAGUUUUAUUUUGAAAACAGCUUUAUUAAGAUAUAAUUCACAUACUUUACAAUUAACCAAUUUAAAGUGUAUAAGUCAAAGGUUUUUAGUACAGUCAUAGAAUUGUACAGUCAUCAUCACAAUCAAUUUUAGAGCAUUUUUGUCACCCCAAAAUAAACCCUGCGCUCAUUAGUAGUUACUCCCUAUUUCCCGUCAAUCCCUCAGUUCAGUUUCUUAAUCGCAGUGGGCACAUUUCAAGUGCUCAACAGCCACAUGUAGCUUAUGGCUAACACAUCGAACAGUGCAGAUAGAGAACGUUUUCAUCAUCACAGAAAGUUCUACUGGACAAUGCGCCCUUCCCCAGACCCCCGCAGAAAGGCUGGAAGAGCUGGGGGUGCUGUUCAUGGGAGGAGAGAGGGUGGUCUAGCUGACAGUCAGGUUACACAAGCAGAAACUCCUGUCCCCUGACUCAGGCCUUGGGUCUUUGUUCCUGACUUUGCCAGUCAACUCUCUGGCUAUAAUCUUGUGGCCCUGAACUCCCUGGUAACAUACUUCAGAUGGGACUUCCACAAACGGAAUGAGCCCUGUGUGCCCAGGGCUGUGUCUCCUGAGAGCAGGGUCAACAAGCCGUUCUCUCCUCGGGACCUGGGUAGAGGCUGAGUGUCAGAUACCAAGAGACUGGCAGGGGACCCAGGGCUAUGCUUUCUGGCCUGGACUAGGGAUAGGGAGGGAAUUUUCCAAAAAUGGAAACCCAACUGUGGAGGUGGGUGCUUCCAUUCCUUUGCUACAAAGCAGCCAGAGCAGUUUUUCAAAACAUACCCAACCCUGUUGCCCCUUGCUUGAAAUCAUUCUACAGGUCCCAAUGCCUGCCCUCAGAAUGGAAUAAACGUAUCUCAACAGGUCUCCUGCUGUUGUCAAAUCCUUGCUUACUUCUGCAUUUUCACUUUCCACUUUCUACUCCUGGGUCCUUUGAACCUGGUGAUCUUGGCAUAUUGAAAGAGCUGGAAGUUCUCCAAAGUCCCAGGUUUCCUUAUAUCCUACCCAGAGAGACUGAAAUCUCCAAAGUGGUAAGCUAAAGACUCCUUAAGUAAUGCCUGAGUCAAUUUUGCAAAUACAGUUCAGUGCUAGCAGGCUCCCUCUUCACUUCUCAUUAAUGAAGUUGACAAAAAAGAAAAACAAACACACAACAGCCUUCUUAGUGAAUUACAACACUGCUUGCAUUGGUGAGGUGGUGAUGAGGGACAGGGUGGAAGUGAGUUACAGACUAUUUUUCUCUAUUUUCUUUCUCUCAAAGAUUCUUUUUACUUCCCGUUUUACCCUAUCCAAGUGCUACUGAGUUGAAUUUAAGUCCCCACUCAAGGUGCUGUUUUGGCCAGAACACAUGAGCAUGCCUUGUCUGUGUCCUUUGCCCCACCUACAUGUGAACAGUGGAGCCCAGCAUUCAAUAAACAUUUUAUUUGAACCGAUAGGUCUUUAUCCACUAAUGUCAGCUAACAAACACUUCUUGAACAACUCAUUCAUUCACUUAACACACGCUUCUUGCAUGCCCACUAAUUGCUGUGUUGUGCGCAUGGCGGUGAACAAGAUAAGCACAGGCUCUGCCUUCUUGGGGCAGAGUUCAUGGUUUAAAGAGAAAGACAGUGAGUCUGCUCUGCACUGAUGCUUAGGCUUACUAAAACUUCAUCUGGGCUCAGUGAAGCCUUAGGGAUAAAAAGAAGUUAGAGCUACAAAUUCUCAAAAUAAUCCCAUGAGAUAGAACUAUUAUUAUUCCCAUUUUUCGGAUGAAGACUUAGAGGCAAGUAUCACACAGCCACAGUGGUGGUGGAGCUAGCACGUGUGACAGGGGUGUGCAUGGACUCUAGGGAAACACAAGGAGGGGGCACAUGGUCCAGCCUGAGUGGUCAGGGAAGAGGCUCUGGAGGAGAUGACAUCUGAGUGGAGUCUGGAAAGGAGGCAGGAAUCCACCAAAUGGGCAAGAGGACGAUGUGAACACCAGGCAGAGCAAAGAUAUCAGGGUCUGAAACAUCUCAGCCAGAGACAGGGCACAUCUGGGCCAUGGCAGAGGAAGCCACUCCAUAGAGGUCUCAUGUGACACGCUAAGGAGCUGGACUCUGUCCUGCAAGCCACAGAGUGCCACUCAAAGGCUUCAAGCAGAUGCAUGGUGCAGUCAGAUCUUGUUUUAAAAAGCACUCUGGCCCAGCAGUAUGGAUAAUAGAUUGGAGGAGGACCAGAUGGGAAGCAGGGGGACCAAUUAGCAGGCUAUUGCAGUAUUCCAGAAGAGAGAUGAAGAGGGAUUCAACUAGGGCAAUGGUACUGGAUAUGGACAAGAUGGGGAAUGAGAUAAAUACAUUGGAGGUAAAAAUGAUCAGGACUCUGAUUAGCUGGAUAUGGAACAACCCAAAAGGGUCCCAGGUCAGGCUGUGCUGCCUGGGCAGGUGACAGUGCCAGUCUGGGGCACAGGAAUGCAGAGCUGGCUGGGGUGCAGGUACAGUCCUUCCCAGAGACAAGGGUGGUCAGAGUUCUCUCUCAGGGUCCUUUCCAGCCAGAGCUAUUUAUGUUGGGCUGGAGGGACCUGUCCAGCUGAGGACAUUCAAGACCUGAGAGCAAUGCAUACCAGAAUCAGGCUGCGAUUCACCUAAAACAAGCUCAGCAACUCCUUUGGUUAUAGGGGAAUUAAUUUUCAAAAUAAAGCUGAGCAAAUCUCAGCAUAGCAGGCCAUGGCAUCUAGAGGCUUAGAGAACUACUGAUUGCAGUCAAGAGAUAAGAGGAGAGAUUAACUGUCAUCCUCUGCCAAUCUUUCCAUCCCCUUAUCGUCCCCCAACGUGUACACGUGUGCACACACAUGCUCACGUGUACACACACACUUACGCACAUGUGUGUGUGUGGAUGUGCUUUGUCAUCCUUAAACUUCUCACCUUCCCCCAGACACGCCAGGCCUGUCCCACUUCCUCUUUGCACCUGCUGUUCUCUCUGCCUGCAGAGUCUUUUCUCCAAGUUCUCCCCUGGGCAAAAUUGCUUUCCUCCCUCUGCACCAACCCAGAUGCCCGGCUUCUCUGAUGUCCAGUCCCCCAUGCCCAGCCCCCCGCCCCAUGUGGGCUUAGUUGCUCUGCCCCAAGUGUCCUCUCCACACUUUCCCCCUGUAAACUAGCACACUGUGUUGUGUUUCUCUGAGGUCUUUCUUCACUGCCAAGCAGAACUCCAGAAGUCUUAUUUGUCUCGGCAUCCCCAGUGGCUGGCGCAAGGUCACCAGUGCUCACGAACUGUUUGAGGAAUGAAUUAGCACAUGUCCUAAGGUGGACCAGAAUACACCUUCUCUGGCCACCGUCCCAAGUCUUUGCUUAAAUGAAGACCAUCAUCUUUGCCCUCUGGACGCUCACAUGCCACGUGGGAAAUAAAGCCUGAACACACGAGAAAAGGGUCGUAAAGGUGGUACCUACCUACCUGCAUUCUCUGUGCUACAUGAGCAGGUUGACUAUUUUUAUGAAAUUGGCCUUUAUUUUUAUCCCCACUUUACAGAUGAGGGUUCCAGCUCCAGGGAAGGCAACACCUCUUUUGGGCUUAGAUGAUCAAAGACUUGUGUAACACCUUUAGGGGAAAACGAGUAGGUGAAUAAGACCCCUGGCUGUCCGGGGGUUGGUGCUUACAGAGAUUCUCCAGACUGACCACAGCUGGUGGGACCAGGUGAAGUCCCUCAGAGAGCAAAGCCUCUGGUUGUUUGUCAAGUGGCUCAUGCAGUCCUCUGGGAUUCUAGCUAGCUUCUGGAGCAGGAGGGGACUUACCACUAUGAACCAACUUCUCAGCCUCCUGAGAAUCUUCUCUGCCUGCCUCAGGCUGGGCACCCCAACCUGACAAAGGUGGUGUUCAUAUGCAGGUAAUAGACAAGGGCCAGGAGGAGCUGGAGUCAGGAAUCAUCAUCCUCAUCAUGAAAUUAAUAACAGCAGCAAUGACACAGUGACAGAAACUCUUGCCUGGAAUUUACACUAUGCUGAGGCUUCCUCUGCAUUCUUAUUUUAUAGUCCAUGAAACACUCCUCUGAAGCAGGUCUCACCAUCUCCAUUUCUCCCCUUCUCCAUUUAUCAGAUGAAAAAACAGAGGUGCAGAAAAGUUCAGCAAUUGCCUUAGAUCACAUAGCAGAGCUGUGAUUUGACUCCAGAGCUGCUACUCUUAAAUAUUAUGCUGCAGGGAGCUGCAGAAGGCAGGCCGGCACCCUGACCUUCCACAGAAGGACACACUAGGAAACAGGAGGCCAGCACUUGCUCGUUGCUCUAACCUCCACACCCCUUCCAGGAUCUCCAGCCCCAGGCAGGAAUGGGUGCCUGCUCCUUGCUAGAUGAAAGCUCUGUGGAGUCUGGAAAGUACAGGUGACUGGGGGCUGCUGGACAGAGGAGCUGAGGUACCCCUUUCCCCCAGCCCCUGGCCUCACGGCAAUGGCCUUCUGAUUGCUGCCUCUCUUGGAUGCCCGGACCGCUGCUGUCUGGAGCCUAAUCUCCAUUCUGGUGGUUUUGGUUGCUAUGGUAAUUGAAUUCACUUAAAGUUGUCUCCAAGCUAGUCUGUCUACCUCUUUCUGUCCACAGCCUGGAGGGGUAAAACCCAGGGCAGAGGGCAAAAAGAGGAGGGAUUGCUGACUUGGGAAGCCUGCGAGUGUUUCCUGAUGCAGAGGGCCUCUUCAGAGGCAAACAGAAGAGAGAACCAGGGAGAAAUGUUCUUUCCAAGUCUCUCUCCAUCUUCCUCUUUGCUGCCUUAGCUCCUUUUUACAACGAUAUGCUGAAAUUAGAGGGCUGGAAAGGCAGGGACUGAUCCCAGUGGGAGGGCACUCUGAGAGUAUUUUUCAUUCCUCAGCAUUUUGUUACUCAUUCAACAAACACCGAAAGCUGACUGUAUUCUAGGCUGCUGGUCUCUGGAUGCAGGAGUCUCUCUGGGGGCAGCUCAGGAUCCAGAGCCACAGAGAAUGCCCCCUGACAGCACAUGUCCAUGUGGCUACCACUCUGAGAUUUCAGGAAAUUGUCCAGCCAGGGGCAGAUCCUGACAGGGAGACUGGGGAUUGUGGGACAUUCCUCUUUCCUCCUUUCUCUGCUGGAGGGAGAUUCAUCACACAGCCCAGGGCAGUCCAGUGAGCAGAGAGAAUCAGAAGUUCUCAAGACUGAGCUACAGUGGAUGGGACCAUCUCUAGGUGGGACUCAAGGGGCAGAUCAUACUCAUUUCCUCCACCGUUCUAAUGCAGGAGAACUUUUGAGACAUAAGAUGAACAACAAGUGCAGAGGCCAAUGUCAAAGAGCCGCCUGAGCGGGGUGUGGGAAGAUGGCCCCUUCCUCCAACCAUCACCACUUUGCUUGGAUGGAUCAUUGCCUGCCUCAGGGCCGCAGGCCUUCCCAAGCAGAACGGAGGCAGCUGCCUCGUAUCCUGGGUCGUCUCUCAUUGGUGUUGCUCCGAGGACAGGCAGACCUACUAUGAGCUCCUCCCAACAUCACCAGCACAGGACCUGGGCCUGAUGAUCAUCUGCUUUGCAGGUUAAGCAUUAAGCCCUGUGGAUUCAACUUUUAGAAAGCCACAGUCCUUAUCCUGGAGGAACCUACAGUUUAGAAGGGGAGAGGUAAGUAAAGGAACAAUUUCGGUUUGGCAAGGUGGGAUAAGGAUGAGAUAAAGAGAUGCAGUGAGAACGUGGGAAGGGCUCCUGAUCAACUUUGGAUUCCUGGAAGAGGCAUUUAAGGCAUUUAAGGUGACAUUGGAUAAUUUUAAAAUGUCCUUUGUAACACUAAUUAUCACUUCCCUCUUCUUCAAUUCUCACUGUUUACUACAGCAAACCUUGUAUCAAAGUUAUUGAUAAGUAGCAAAAUGAAUUGCUUUGUGAAAGCAUGGCAUAGUUAGAAUGAUAAUAACAGAGGCUACCAUGUCCUGAGUUCCCACCGUGGCCACUGUGCUUUCUGGCUUAGCAUUAUCUAGCAGUGUGACCUUGGGCAGGGAACAUCUCCAGUGUGUGUUAGUAUCCACUGCUAAAAUGAAAAAGUUGGCCAGAUGAUCCCUAGCUCCCUGCAAGCUCUCAUGGGCUGUGGCUCUAUUUCUUCCAGGGUCACUGAAGCCUCUGCUGGGGGACGAUGGACAAGGAAGUAGCCAGGACUAGGGGGUCAGGCAAGGAAGCAAAAGGACUAGAGAGUCCUCACACUGGCAAAUCAGCCUGGAACAUUUGAUUUUGAGAGAAGAUGCUGUAUAUGUCACAUAAAUAAUACUGAAAACACCUUAUUGUUAUAUUUUUUCAAAGCAAUUUCAUAUGCUAUCUCAUGUGCUUUUCAUAACAAUGAUGUGAAGGACAGAGUUAGGGAGGUGGAGAAACUGAGGCAGAGCCAAGGUAGGCUACUCAGCCUAGGUGUCAUGGUGAGGCAGUGGUGCAGGCUGCGCUAGAACCCAGGACUUCUGUCCUAAUACUGUUUUUCCAUAUGCAAGGCAGAAUUCUGGCCGGGGGCAAUCCAGAUUGCCUAUGCCCUCCAGAAGCCUGCACCUAAAUGGCCCUGGCAGUGCUGCCCCCACCUCCCUCACCAUCCUCCAACAGUACAGUGAGCCUUUCCCUAGGUGCUGGAACAAGAUUUUAUUUCCACAAAGUGGGUCUAAAGGAUGGUUUUGGUGGCUCAGCGCCAAUCAGUCUGGCUGCUGGGCCUGCUCUGGCCUUUGAGUCACCUGUGAUGGGACUUCUGCCUGGCUCUGGUGACCAGGCUGGGCUCCCUUACAACCUGCCUCACCCCUAGCUCCUCUGGGCCUGGGCCCUGCCUUGUUCUUCUGAGUCCUUCCUCUCUGGGAGCCCAGCCCUGCUCUAGAACCCUACCCUGAGGCUGAUUCCAGAACCUCCCCUCUGAGCCAUUGUACACUGUGUGCCCCUAGAUCCCCUUUGCUGUGCUCUGAUCAACAAGUAGACACUGUCUGCUGGACCUCCCUCGUGCUGACCACCAGGGACGUUAGGACGUCCGUCUAGCCCCCAUGACAUGUUUUCCAAAUAAUUCUCUUUGCCUGCUAGGCUGCCCACCUCCCAUUGCUGCUAGGUUUGUCCCUAAGCUGCUCACUUACCGCAAUGGAUAACGUCCCCAUUCCAGUCUCGGUGAUCUGGUGAUCUGGGUGUCUGCAGGCUCUAAAUUCUGUUUUGACAGCCACCCCCCACCUCUACCCUUCAAAGCUGGAAGCUAAUGGGCUGGGUAGCCUGGAGCAGCUUGCUCUCCCACUCUUUCUGGGGCCCUAUUGACCAACUGUGAAAGUGCCCACUAGGUUCCCUUUCCUUACAGGUAUGAAUAAGAGCACAGCCAUCUGGGGCCCCUUGAGGGAUGGCUCUGUCUGAAAACAGACGUGAUUACUAUUUUCAUCACCUUUAUAAUCCUUUAAUCACACAUUUGCAGCAGAGAGUCUGGGCAGGGUGAGUCCAUUUAUAUAAACAGCAGGAAAAAGGAGGCUCUGUGCCAUAUGCCAACCAGGCUUAGUGGAAAUGUAGCAAUUGCUGGCCUUUCAUGAGCAGGAAAAAAAUGAAUAAUCUAGGUAUUUAUCCCCAAACAGCUCCAAUUCAAGCUGCUGGGACCUGUGCUUAUAUUACAAUGGCUUUGACAAAGACAUAUCAUCCUUCCAUGCUGGCCUGAGCUCUCAGUUCUGUCAGUGGGCUAGAAGGCAUGGAAGGACAGGCUGUCUGGGCAGGUGACUGCCCUUGAACAAAGAGACUCCCCUGUCUCUGGCCCUUGGAUCCUGGAAGUGUUAAUCUGAAAGCCUAUCUUCCUAUCAUUAAUGGGAUAAGGAGCCCAAAGGAGUUCCAAACUACUGUUUGGAAUGGUCCUUAACAGUUACAGAGUUGUUUUCGUUUGUUUGUUUGUUUUUGUUUUAAUUUUGAGAUGGUGAGAGGCUGUGGCAAACAGGUACUAGAACUCUGGAAGGGGAGGGAGAAUGUUCUUCCAGGGCCUCUCCAUGUGAAACUGAGGCUUUUCUCCAGUGGCCCAGGGAGUAGAGGCAGAAAGGAGGCCUUGGUGACAGUCCUGUGACCCAGUCCACCCCGAGAAGGUAAUCUCAACCUGGGAAACAUGCCCUGACUCUCUCACUUUUAGAUAAUUCCCUAAGUAGAGGUCAGUCUUUCCUUCCAAAGGAUCGGUCCACUUAUGUAUAAGAAUCUCUUUUCUGGUUUGAAAGUGGCAUUAUUACUCGCUAUUUCUGGGUAAGAGGUCACUCUAGAACUCAGCAGUGUGUAAGAGUAAGCACUUAUUUAGCUUAUGUGUCUGUGGGUCACCUGCAGUGCUGGUCUUGGCCAGACUUGGGGGGGCAGCUGGGACACAGCUCUGUACCAUGUAUCUCUAUCCUCCUUCUGGGACCAGUGGGGGUGACAAAAGCAGCUGAAGGUGAACAGAAACAUGCAAUGCCUCCUAAAACCUGGGCUCCCUGUCACAUGGCCAAAGACAAAGUUAAGGAGUGGGGAAAGAUGCUCCAUUCCUUUAUGGAAAGAACUGCAAAGUCACAGGGCAAAGGGCAUGGAGAGAAAGGGGUGAACAAUUUGGCCUAAUGACACAAGCCUGUAUCACCCAGAAAGAUGUCAGAAUCAGGCCCCCUCCCUUGAAGCUCUUGCAGAGGUCUCCCUCCUCCCCCCUUCUCCCUGGAAUAGAUGAGAUGAAGGGGGACCCUCUGAAGGGGACCCCAUCAGCCCAGAGUAAUGUGGCCUUGUGACUCCCUCUCGAUCUUUCCUGUGCUGGUUAGAAUGUGGGCACAUAGAGAAUGGAAUGACAAAGAGUUUGUCCUGAGCCAAACGACUACUUCAGUCUUGUUAGUGGUUAGGUCCUGAUGAGUUGCCAUCUUCACAUCUGAAAUUUUUCUGGGAAAAUAAAGCGGCCAAAGGAACAUACAGCAAGGAGAAAAAACCAAGAACCCGCUACAAGUCAGGUCACGUGACCCACCCAUCUCUGCUAAAUGGAAGCAUGAAUCAGAGAUGAGUAACACAGUGCCCAACUUCAACCGGAGCCCAGCACAUGGAGCAGAGACCUUGCAAGUGAUCUGAACACAGAUUUCACUGGAACUGGAUAAAAGAGCUUGGCCUGGCCACACCCCUGGACUCUUCAAGCCAACAGGUCCCAAGUAGACUGUUGAGUUUCCAUCGGUGCAGAGCGGCUGCCAACUGGGCUGUGGCAACAGCAGCUCUCACGGUUUUCUAAAAAUCCGUGCAUGAAAUUCUCCCUUCCCCGCCCUACAGCCCUUCCCACCCCCCAAAUUAAACAAAUG